GUUGAGGAUCAUAACGAUUAGCGUUCAUUGAAUUACGAAAAGAGCGACGAGCCACUUGAAUUGUCUUGCUACCUGGAAGACAAACAGUUACACGCAGUGGAUGAGUAGGAUGAAUUCGAAGGGGUUGUUUGGAAGAUGAGCGGUAUAUAGGAACCUUCUCCUCUAAUGGUUUCAUUUCCUCUAAUUUUAAUGAUUUAGUAGGAAGAAACCGCUCCGGGUUCACUUUAGGCAAAUGUAAAUUCAAAAUAACAUCGCCCUUCGAUCGCUGAAUUCGAACAGAAUUUGCAUGACUAAGUAUCAAUCUCGAUGAUUUUAAAGAGCUCGUUUCCGAGGAUACUACAUAACUACUACUUCUGGUAUCACGACCUUUGGAGUGGCUGUAAGAAGAGGAUGAAGAAACAGGUUGACCGAGAGCAUUAGAAUUGCCAAUGCGUGAAACUCCUCCAUGUUCGUUGGGGACACGAUGGGGUAAAUGAGCAUUUGCGGCCACCCCACUUUGAUAGGAUCUCUGUUUAUAUAAGUUAUUGUCAAAAAUGACAUCCUUUAUACUUAAAAUAACUUCAUCAAUACUCCGAGACUUUCCAUGUUUCGGGGAAGAAGUACUAUCAUCAGAUUGGGGAUUCAACUGUAAAGGAUCAUUUUUAUCCGACGUAAAUAAAGGCGAGACUUGAACAGGAGGAAUUGGAUGACUAUGACUUCUCCAUGAAAGCGGAGUAGAAUCAUCUCUGGGGCUAGAAGGAUCAAUUUCUGUUGUCUCUUGGUUACUAUGUAGUCCUUCGGGACUAUUGGUAAUAGACUGAGGCUCUUUAGUGUAUAUUGCUUCAACUUUUUUGCUAGACUCGACAUUGGAAGACCGCUCAUU